rnacentral:lncRNA from 1 species
AUCUUCUCCCCCGCCAGCUCGCCAGCUCGGGAGCUUCUUGAGAGCAGGGUCCAUGGCAGGCUUUGCUCACCAUUGCGUGGCUCCAGGCUCAGUACUACCCCAACCAUCACCACCACCACCAAUACACCAUCGCUGGCAUCUGGUUUGUUGAACAGAACAAGGGAAACCCUGGAAAUAAAUGAGACCGUGCUGUCGUAAAGUCUAACUUAGUGUACACAGUGUUUCCCUCAGACUUUUAUUCAUUCAAGCAGCAUGUAUUGGAUACCUACUAUACAACAAGCAUUGUUCUAGGAACCAGGGAUACAGUGGCAAAAAUGACAAGCCAUAGACCCUGCCCUCAUGAAACUUCAUGUAGAGGAGACAUACAGCAGAUCGAAUCCUAGACUCACUGUCUGAUCCGGAAGGCACUUUAAUCAUGCCUAAGAGCCUGGAGAUUUAUAAAGGAAGCUGUAACUGGGAAGAAUCCGGCCUGCUGGGAAGCUGCUUCUCCCAGGGUCUUGCUCUAUUACCCCGAGUGGAGUGGAGUGGUGCCAUCUUGGCUCAUUGCAUCGUUGACCUCCCGAGCUCAAGUGAUCCUCCCACCUCAGCCUCCCACUUUUCGGGACUACAGGCACACACCACCACAGCCAGAUGGAGUCUCACUCUGUUGCCCAGGCUUGAGUGCAGUGGCACAAUCUCGGCUCACUACAACCUCCGCCUCCUGGGUUCAAGCAAUUCUCCUGUCUCAGCCUCCCAAGUAGCUGAGACUACAGAGGCAUGCCACCACACCAGGCUAAUUUUUGUAUUUUCAGUAGAGACGGGGUUUCACCACGUUGGUCAGGCUGGUCUCAAACUCCUGACCUCAGGUGAUCCACCUGCCUCAGCCUCUCAAAGUGCUGGGAUUACAGGCGUAAGCCACAGUGCCCGGCCCAAAAGUUGCUUUCUCCAACUUUUGGGCUGAACUCUGUCUCUUUGUGGCUUCCAUCCAUUGGUCACAGUGCUGCCUCUGGGGGCCACCUAAGCUCUGUCUUCUCCCUCUGCCCUCCAACAGCUUCUUAGAGGUCUGAAGCAUCACCAUAGCCAUAACCCCUGAGUCUUCUCCAAGCAAAACAACUCCACUUCCUUCAACUGUUCUUCAUGAGACCAGGGCCCCCGCUUUCUCCACAGCAUGCUUUUGCCUCCCUGGUCAUGCUCCAGUGUGACUCUGGUACCCUUAAUAUGUGGCACACAGAGCUGACACCAUAUUCCAGGGCAGUCUGUCACCUCCUUGUUCUUGAAACUUUACUUCUAUACUGCCUACAGAUGCAGCUGAAGGUUCCAUGGAUGUAUUUGGUCAGACCAUGCAUAUGACAGUCACCUCCUCACCUCUGCUCCUUGCCCUCUCACCUGGUUCCCCCUUGCCAGCCUACAUUUGAGGACUGGAUCCAAGAGCAAGACCUAACAUUUCUCCCUGUCGUAUUUACUUUGUAAGCUUCAGCCCCUCCUUCUAGUCUGUCAGGAAUGGGAAUGUUUUUGAAAACAGACUCUGAAAGCCAAUGAGAUGUGCUCCUCCUGCCCACAGUUGGACCCAGGCUCCAUAUUUGAUCAGUGAACAGCCACGUCCGCACAUGUGCCACAAGGCAUUUGUCUGCAAAUUCAUCCGGAGACCUUGACAGAUGCCUGGAGGUCAGAAAUCAGCCUCCUCUAUGCUGCCAUGUGGCCCCAGGAGCCUGAAGGAAACACCAAGUACAUCUAGAAGUUGAUGGUUGACCGAUGGGAGAGGGGGCAAGAUGCCAGUCACUCAGUCAGCCAACCUUUCCUGAAGAUUGUUGGAGGCUCCAAGUGACAUAGGGGAUAAUGCAGAGAACAUUCAGAGACAUCAUCUACUGCCUGUGCGCUCUGGAAGUUUCUAGUCUCACAAAAAGGAAGACCAGGGAGGCCCUUAAGAAAAUAUAGCAGGCUGAAUAAUAUCCCCCAAAGAUAUCAGGUCCUAAUCCCUGGAACCUGUAAAAGUUACCUGAUUUGGAAAAAUGAUCUUGGCAGAUGUGAUCAAGUUAAGGGUUUCUAAAUGCAAUCACAUAAGAGGGAGGCAGAGGAGACUUGAAACAGAUGGAAAAAGAAAAGAAAAGACCACGUGACCAUAGAGGCAGAGAUUGGAGUGAAGUGGCUACAAGCCAAGGAAUGCUGGCAGCCACAGAAGCUGGAAAAGACAAGGACCAGAUUCUCCCUUAGAGCCUCUGGAAGGAGCAUGGCCCCAUCAACACCUUGAUUUUGGCCCAGUGAUACUGGCUUUAGACGUCUAGCCUCCAGAUCCGUGAGAGAAUACAUUUUUGUUUUCUUCAGCCACCAAGUUUGUGGUCAUUGUUACAGAAGCCACAGGAAACCGAGAUAGGUAAUGAGGGAGGUCCACAGGCAGGUGAGGGGCCUGGACCACGACCAAGGUGGGCCAGGCAACUGAUGGCCAUAAAUCUUAGGCAAGGCUUCCUGGAAGAGGCUGGAGCUGGGAUCUCAAGAGUGAUAGAGGAGGGGGCUUGGCAGAGGGAAGAGACAGGGCUCCCUGGGCUGUGACAAUUGAGCAGAUCAGGCCUGGUGUGGCCAGAGAUCACUGAGACUGCAGAAGUGAAGGGGGGUGGUGUGUAUGUGAAAAGGCCACAUCCUGCCAAGUUGCCACUUUACGUCCUUCCCAGGGGAAAAUGAGCAGAACCCUGCGUCGCCAGCAGGGUGGCCCUUGGUCAUCCUGCAAAAAGCCAAGAUGUGGGGUCAGACAGACCUGGUUCUAGCACCACCACAUACUGGUGCCUGCUGCCUCCCUGAGCCUCAGUCUCCCCAUCAGCAAAAUGGGGAUGAUAAUAUUGGUAUAAUUUCUAAGGAUACUUUCUCAUUUUCCAGCUUUCCCUUGUUGUCGCAUUUCUUCUUU